rnacentral:rRNA from 1 species
AUUCCUACGGGAGGCAGCAGUGGGGAAUCUUGCGCAAUGGGCGAAAGCCUGACGCAGCAACGCCGCGUGCGGGAAGAAGGCCUUAGGGUUGUAAACCGCUUUCAGUAGGAACGAAAAUGACGGUACCUGCAGAAGAAGGUGCGGCCAACUACGUGCCAGCAGCCGCGGUGACACGUAGGCACCAAGCGUUGUCCGGAUUUAUUGGGCGUAAAGAGCUCGUAGGCGGUUCAGUAAGUCGGGUGUGAAAACUCUGGGCUUAACCCAGAGCCGCCACUCGAUACUGCUGUGACUUGAGUUCGGUAGGGGAGCAGGGAAUUCCUAGUGUAGCGGUGAAAUGCGCAGAUAUUAGGAGGAACACCGGUGGCGAAGGCGCUGCUCUGGGCCGAUACUGACGCUGAGGAGCGAAAGCGUGGGUAGCAAACAGGAUUAGAUACCCUGGUAGUCCACGCCGUAAACGUUGGGCACUAGGUGUGGGUUCCAACCAACGGAAUCCGCGCCGUCGCUAACGCAUUAAGUGCCCCGCCUGGGGAGUACGGCGGCAACGCUAAAACUCAAAGGAAUUGACGGGGACCCGCACAAGCAGCGGAGCAUGUGGUUUAAUUCGAUGCAACGCGAAGAACCUUACCAGGGCUUGACAUGCACCAGAAAACCGUAGAAAUACGGUCCUUCCUUCGGGACUGGUGCACAGGUGGUGCAUGGUUGUCGUCAGCUCGUGUCGUGAGAUGUUGGGUUAAGUCCCGCAACGAGCGCAACCCUCGUUCUAUGUUGCCAGCACGUGAUGGUGGGGACUCAUAGGAGACUGCCGGGGUCAACUCGGAGGAAGGUGGGGAUGACGUCAAAUCAUCAUGCCCCUUAUGUCUUGGGCUUCACGCAUGCUACAAUGGCCAGUACAAAGGGCUGCGAUACCGUAAGGUGGAGCGAGUCCCAAAAAACUGGUCUCAGUUCGGAUUGGGGUCUGCAACUCGACCCCAUGAAGUCGGAGUCGCUAGUAAUCGCAGAUCGGCAACGCUGCGGUGAAUACGUUCCCGGGCCUUGUACACACCGCC